rnacentral:rRNA from 1 species
GAUGAACGCUGGCGGUGUGCCUAAUACAUGCAAGUCGAACGCGCAGCGAAAGGUGCUUGCACCUUUCAAGCGAGUGGCGAACGGGUGAGUAACACGUGGAUAACCUGCCUCAAGGCUGGGGAUAACAUUUGGAAACAGAUGCCAAUACCGAAUAAAACUUAGUAUCGCAUGAUAAAAAGUUAAAAGGCGCUACGGCGUCACCUAGAGAUGGAUCCGCGGUGCAUUAGUUAGUUGGUGGGGUAAAGGCUUACCAAGACAAUGAUGCAUAGCCGAGUUGAGAGACUGAUCGGCCACAUUGGGACUGAGACACGGCCCAAACUCCUACGGGAGGCUGCAGUAGGGAAUCUUCCACAAUGGGCGCAAGCCUGAUGAAGCAACGCCGCGUGUGUGAUGAAGGCUUUCGGGUCGUAAAGCACUGUUGUAUGGGAAGAAAUGCUAAAAUAGGGAAUGAUUUUAGUUUGACGGUACCAUACCAGAAAGGGACGGCUAAAUACGUGCCAGCCGCCGCUGUAA